rnacentral:lncRNA from 1 species
GCGUGAUUAAAACCAGUUUACACAUUUUCUUCCUUGGGCACGAAUUUAGUUUCUCCAUUUAAUUCCCACCAACUAAGAACAUUUCAGAGCAGCGACGCUCAUUGUUGAUCUUUCUUCGAGAUUUGGGAAUGACUAGUAAUAAGGUCUUGUUUUGUUCACCUCAAAAACUAAAAACUUUUCAAAAUUCUCCGUCACAUCGAAUCUUGCGGUACAUGU